UAUAGCAGGUUUAAUUAAUUAAGAAAGAAUGGGAUGCGACGACGACGAAACGCAUAAUAUCCAGUUUAAAAAGAAGAAGAAGACGAAACCUUUAAGGAAACGCGAAGCUUCUCGGUUUGAGCGAGGGAGAGGAAAUGUCCAAGGAGAAAGUCGAGGAAACAAAGAUCAUUCAGAAACUAAGAGAUCGGUGUCAAUAUUGUUGGUUUGGCGUUCGGAGAAACCAUUGUAUCCAAUCUUGACAUCGGAUUCCUUUAACAUGAAAAUUGGAGGAAUGGUAUGGUUGCGUUGAAAAAUACAAAACAAGCCGAAUGACGCAUACAACACUGGCAUUGGAAUGCAAUUUAACAUGAAAAAUAAUAAUGGCGAUAAAGCGAAGAAAUGGUCAAGUAUAUAGAAAAAGAAUUGUUGAAAUGCAAUAGUAAAAAUAAUAACGAUGCAGUGAAUAGUACCAAUAAUAAUAAGGAAUCAUAUUGCUUGCCAGAGGAAGCAGCGUUGCACGCAGUACCAGAACAUUUGAGGCAGAGCUUAACUAGUUGUAGCGAGAAAAUGCAUUUGAAUUGAAUGCUGUUUGCUUCUUUUGGUAUUCCAGAAGUCGAUCUUGGCAUAGAAACCAAAAUUCGUAACAUUGAAGCUGCAGAGGAGGCAAAAUUAAAACUUCUUUUGGGAUAGACACAGAAAAAAAGAUAGGCCCUCACUGUUUGUGCCUACAAAUAUGGCUGUGAAUUUUGUGCAACACAACAGACGUAUGGAUUUUAUUCUCUUUAUCAUUUUUCAUAGAUAG